GACGAACGCUGGCGGCGUGCUUAACACAUGCGAGUCGAACGCUGAAGCUCAGCUUUUGUUGGGUGGAUGAGUGGCGAACGGGUGAGUAACACGUGAGUAACCUGCCUCCUUCUUUGGGAUAACGCCCGGAAACGGGCGCUAAUACUGGAUAUUCACUGGUCUUCGCAUGGGGGUUGGUGGAAAGGGUUUUUCUGGUGGGGGAUGGGCUCGCGGCCUAUCAGCUUGUUGGUGGGGUGAUGGCCUACCAAGGCUUUGACGGGUAGCCGGCCUGAGAGGGUGACCGGUCACAUUGGGACUGAGAUACGGCCCAGACUCCUACGGGAGGCAGCAGUGGGGAAUAUUGCACAAUGGGCGCAAGCCUGAUGCAGCGACGCCGCGUGAGGGAUGGAGGCCUUCGGGUUGUGAACCUCUUUCGCUCAUGGUCAAGCCGCAACAAUGGUUGUGGUGAGGGUAGUGGGUAAAGAAGCGCCGGCUAACUACGUG
rnacentral:rRNA from 1 species